GAUGAACGCUAGCUACAGGCUUAACACAUGCAAGUCGAGGGGAAACGAUAUUGGAAGCUUGCUUCCGAUAGGCGUCGACCGGCGCACGGGUGAGUAACGCGUAUCCAACCUGCCCACCACUUGGGGAUAACCUUGCGAAAGUAAGACUAAUACCCAAUGAUAUCUCUAGAAGAAAUCUGAAAGAGAUUAAAGAUUUAACGGAGAUGGAUGGGGAUGCGUCUGAUUAGCUUGUUGGCGGGGUAACGGCCCACCGAGGCGACGACCAGUAGGGGUUCUGAGAGGAAGGUCCCCCACAUUGGAACUGAGACACGGUCCAAACUCCUACGGGAGGCAGCAGUGAGGAAUAUUGGUCAAUGGACGAGAGUCUGAACCAGCCAAGUAGCGUGCAGGAUGACGGCCCUAUGGGUUGUAAACUGCUUUUAUAAGGGAAUAAAGUGAGCCUCGUGAGGCUUUUUGCAUGUACCUUAUGAAUAAGGACCGGCUAAUUCCGUGCCAGCAGCCGCCGUAA
rnacentral:rRNA from 1 species